CGGGCUGCCUGCGGAGCCCAGGCGCUUGGCUUCAGAGGAUGGUGCCCAGCGGCCCCUCCGAUGCCCGCCAGGGACCCCUCCGACGCCCCCGAGCGCCUGCCGGGCUGCAACACCGGAGGAAGCAGGAUGAGCGGGCGCAGAGAGAGGCAGGGAAAGAGGCAGCCGGUGACCACCGCACCCGCGGCCCAGAGCGUCUGCGUGAUCCGGGCCCCAGUUUCUCCCCAGGGUGGCUUUUGUUGUUACUCGCGAUCUGGAAAAUCGGGCCCACAGUGGGUGCCAGGGUGGCUGCCUCCGCCUCCUGCUGAAGCGAGGACUCAGGCACGAGGAGAAGGCCCUCGCAAGGCUGGUUCUCUCCUGAGUCCGUCCUCAUUUGGGGCGGCUGAGAGGGAAGGACGAAGUUAUUAAAGCCUUGCUCCCUGGGCCUGUCACUCAGGCACCUCGUCGCUGGCGGCCUCUCCGGCUGGGUCUUCACAGCCGCCUCUGCAGCCCUGGGAUUCGCUGGUGCUCAGAGGCCUGGCACCCCCACGGCCUGGGUGACCCUUUCUCAGCCCUUGACAGGUGGGCAGACGUGUGACAGGAUUAGGGAUACAGAGGAGAGCAGACAGUGCGCCACUCGGGCAGUGGGGACAGACAGGGCAGGACACAGACAGCUAAAUACCACCAUGGAUAUACCUGCAGUUGAGCAAAGUUGGGUUUAUUGGCUCACGGCAACAAGAGAGACCGUACAUCAUGGGAAACUGUGAGGCACCUCCUAAGAGGUGUUCCAAAGGACUUGUGUCAAGUGGUUUUGAGAAGGUUUCAAGGAAGCAUGGCUUCUCUCUGAUUUGGAUGCUUUUUGGAAUUGGAGGAGAAGGGGGCGUGAAGACAGAGCUGAGAGAGAUUUGAAGAUGCUGGCAUUGAAGAGUAGAGGGGUGUGCCCACAAGCCAAGGAAUGCCAACAGCCACCAGCAGCCAGAAGAGGAGUGACUUUCAAGGACAUGAAGAAGCUGAGGACCUUUUCAAGUGUGGGCAUCACCAUUUCUCUUGGUGCCAGGUCUCAGCUGCCCAUCCAGCCGCUACCUCUGGAAACGCUCCUGUCUGCCCCGGGCCCUCCCCAUGGAGUCUGACCCCAGCACAGACCUCCAGGGAUUCCCGAAGCAGUCCUGGAUGCCACAGACCCCACUGCAGUCCCGAACACCCCUAGCUGCUUCAUCCACCUGUUUGACAACUACCCUGCCCUAAGUAUGCCAACAUAAGCCAUCCUCUGACUUUAUAAAGACUUAGGAACUGCACAGUCCAUGAGACUGUCCAUGCC
rnacentral:lncRNA from 1 species